rnacentral:lncRNA from 1 species
AGGACAUCACCUGCUCGGAUACAACCACAUUAGUAACUUUUGAUUCACAGGUGAAACAAUUCUUUACCAUGAUUGUAUUUGAUACAUUUGAUGAAUUGAUGUUGCACCAUGAUGUGUGUUCAUUGUCAAUUUCAGAAAUACAUACGUGGAUCAAAAAUAGUGUUAAAUAUACAUGGAAGGCACGGAGGACCAAAGAAGUAGAUUGGGGGUUAAUUCUAAGUAUUCCCAACAUCCUCCA